rnacentral:rRNA from 1 species
UUCUUAAAGAGAUAAUUUUAAGUAAAAUCUGCUCAAUGAAAUAUUAAAUAGCCGCAGAAUAUAUUACUGUGCUAAGGUAGCAUAAUCAUUUGUCUAUUAAUUAUAGACUAGUAUGAAAGAUUUAAUAUAUUAAACAUUGUUUCAUAAUUAAUAUAUUUAAAUUAUUUUAAGUAUUAAAAAAUACUUAUAUGAGAAAAAGACGACAAGACCCUGUUGAACUUUGAACUGUAGUUUAGCUGGGGCAGCUAAAUAAAUAUAAUUUUAUAUUACAAUAAUAAAGAGAAGAACUAAUAUAAUUAAUUAAUCGAACAAGUUACCACAGGGAUAACAGCGUAAUACUUUUCAAAAGUUCUUAUAUAAAAAAGUGUUUACGACCUCGAUGUUGAAUAUUUACCUAAUUUAAGCAAAAUUAAAUAUUAUAUAUUAAGGAAGUCUGUUCGACUUUUAAAUUAAUACA